rnacentral:rRNA from 1 species
GAUGAACGCUGGCGGCGUGCUUAACACAUGCAAGUCGAACGGAAAGGCCCUGCUCUUGCGGGGUGCUCGAGUGGCGAACGGGGGAGUAACACGCGAGUAACCUGCCCUUGACUUUGGGAUAACUUCUGGAAACUGGGGCUAAUACCGGAUAGGAGCUACUGCUGCACGGUGGGGGUUGGAAAGUUUCGGCGGUUGUGGAUGGCCUCGCGGCUUAUCAGCUUGUUGGUGGGGUAGUGGCUUACCAAGGCUUUGACGGGUAGCCUGCCUGGGAGCGUGACCGGCCACCUUGGUACUGCGAUACGGCCCAGUCUCCUACGUGAGGCAGCAGUGGGGAGUAUUGCGCAAUGGGCGGAAGCCUGAUGCAGCAACGCCGCGUGCGGGAUGACGGCCUUCUGGUUGUAAACCGCUUUCGCCUGUAACGAAGCGUGAGUGACGGUAAUGGGUAAAGAAGCACCGGCUAACUACGUG